CGGGAUGUAACUCAGUUUGGUAGAGUGCUGCUUUUGGGAAGCAGAUGUCGCAGGUUCAAAUCCUGUCAUCCCGA
rnacentral:tRNA from 1 species